UGAAUAUGGGGGGACCAUCCUCCAAGGCUAAAUACUCCUGACUGACCGAUAGUGAACCAGUACCGUGAGGGAAAGGCGAAAAGAACCCCGGCGAGGGGAGUGAAAAAGAACCUGAAACCGUGUACGUACAAGCAGUGGGAGCACCUUCGGGUGUGACUGCGUACCUUUUGUAUAAUGGGUCAGCGACUUAUAUUCUGUAGCAAGGUUAACCGUAUAGGGGAGCCGCAGGGAAACCGAGUCUUAACUGGGCGUUAAGUUGCAGGGUAUAGACCCGAAACCCGGUGAUCUAGCCAUGGGCAGGUUGAAGGUUGGGUAACACUAACUGGAGGACCGAACCGACUAAUGUUGAAAAAUUAGCGGAUGACUUGUGGCUGGGGGUGAAAGGCCAAUCAAACCGGGAGAUAGCUGGUUCUCCCCGAAAGCU
rnacentral:rRNA from 1 species